rnacentral:rRNA from 1 species
CCUGGUUGAUCCUGCCAGUAGUCAUAUGCUUGUCUCAAAGAUUAAGCCAUGCAUGUCUCAGUACAAGCCAAAUUAAGGUGAAACCGCGAAAGGCUCAUUAAAUCAGUUAUGGUUCCUUAGAUUGUACCCACUUUUACUUGGAUAACUGUGGUAAUUCUAGAGCUAAUACAUGCAAACAGAGUUCCGACCGGAGACGGAAGGAGCGCUUUUAUUAGAUCAAAACCAAUCGGUGCUGCGGUGGCGUUCGCGUUUGCCGUAGUAUCGUACAAAAUUUGGUGACUCUGAAUAACUUUUUGCUGAUCGCACGGUCUCGCACCGGCGACGCAUCUUUCAAAUGUCUGCCUUAUCAACUGUCGAUGGUAGGUUCUGCGCCUACCAUGGUUGUAACGGGUAACGGGGAAUCAGGGUUCGAUUCCGGAGAGGGAGCCUGAGAAACGGCUACCACAUCCAAGGAAGGCAGCAGGCGCGCAAAUUACCCACUCCCGGCACGGGGAGGUAGUGACGAAAAAUAACGAUACGGGACUCAUCCGAGGCCCCGUAAUCGGAAUGAGUACACUCUAAACCUUUUAACAAGGAUCAAUUGGAGGGCAAGUCUGGUGCCAGCCGCCGCGGUAAUUCCAGCUCCAAUAGCGUAUAUUAAAGUUGUUGCGGUUAAAAAGCUCGUAGUCGAAUCUGUGUCCCGCGCCGCUGGUUCAUCGCUCGCGGUGCCAACUGGCGUGUUCGCGGGACGUCCUGCCGGUGGGCUCAUCGAAUUGAUUGCUUCGGCGGUCGUUCGUGGCCCAACUCGUAGCCGUCUCGUACGGUUGCGAAUCCCAUCGCGGUGCUCUUUACUGAGUGUCGAGGYGGGCCGGCACGUUUACUUUGAACAAAUUAGAGUGCUUAAAGCAGGCCAAUUUUGCCUGAAUAUUGUGUGCAUGGAAUAAUGGAAUAGGACCUCGGUUCUAUUUUGUUGGUUUUCGGAACCCCGAGGUAAUGAUUAAUAGGAACGGAUGGGGGCAUUCGUAUUGCGACGUUAGAGGUGAAAUUCUUGGAUCGUCGCAAGACGGACAGAAGCGAAAGCAUUUGCCAAAAACGUUUUCAUUGAUCAAGAACGAAAGUUAGAGGUUCGAAGGCGAUCAGAUACCGCCCUAGUUCUAACCAUAAACGAUGCCAGCUAGCGAUCCGCCGACGUUCCUCCGAUGACUCGGCGGGCAGCUUCCGGGAAACCAAAGCUUUUGGGUUCCGGGGGAAGUAUGGUUGCAAAGCUGAAACUUAAAGGAAUUGACGGAAGGGCACCACCAGGAGUGGAGCCUGCGGCUUAAUUUGACUCAACACGGGGAACCUCACCAGGCCCAGACACCGGAAGGAUUGACAGAUUGAGAGCUCUUUCUUAAUUCGG